rnacentral:rRNA from 1 species
GGAGUUAGCCGGUGCUUCUUCUGUGAGUGAUGUCCUUCCUGCCGGCUAUUAACCCGCAGGCCUUCUUCCUCACUGAAAGUGCUUUACAACCCGAAGGCCUUCUUCACACACGCGGCAUGGCUGGAUCAGGGUUGCCCCCAUUGUCCAAUAUUCCCCACUGCUGCCUCCCGUAGGAGUCUGGGCCGUGUCUCAGUCCCAGUGUGGCUGAUCAUCCUCUCAGACCAGCUACGGAUAGUCGCCUUGGUGAGCCGUUACCUCACCAACCAGCUAAUCCGACAUAGGCUCAUCCGAUAGCGCGAGGCCCGAAGGUCCCCCGCUUUCCCCCGUAGGGCGUAUGCGGUAUUAGCCUGGGUUUCCCCAGGUUAUCCCCCACUACCGGGCAGAUUCCUAUGCAUUACUCACCCGUCCGCCGCUCGCCACCAGGGAGCAAGCUCCCCGUGCUGCCGCUCGACUUGCAUGUGUUAGGCCUGCCGCCAGCGUUCAAUCUGAGCCAGAAUCAAACUCUGA